UCCGGUUUGUCACCGGCAGUCUGGUGUGAGUCCCCAACUAAAUGCUGGCAACACACCACGGGGGUUGCGCUCGUUGCGGGACUUAACCCAACAUCUCACGACACGAGCUGACGACAGCCAUGCAGCACCUGUAUCCCGGUUCCCGAAGGCACCAAUCCAUCUCUGGAAAGUUCCGAGUAUGUCAAGGGCAGGUAAGGUUCUUCGCGUUGCAUCGAAUUAAACCACAUGCUCCACCGCUUGUGCGGGCCCCCGUCAAUUCAUUUGAGUUUUAACCUUGCGGCCGUACUCCCCAGGCGGUCGACUUAUCGCGUUAACUGCGCCACUAAGAACUCGAGGCUCCCAACGGCUAGUCGUCAUCGUUUACGGCGUGGACUAC
rnacentral:misc_RNA from 1 species